CUAGGCAUUUCACCGCUACACUACACAUUCUAUCUACUUCCAUAUGACUCAAGUCAACCAGUAUCAAAGGCAGUUCCAUAGUUGAGCUAUGGGAUUUCACCUCUGACUUAAUCGACCGCCUGCGGACCCUUUAAACCCAAUGAUUCCGGAUAACGCUCGGACCCUCCGUAUUACCGCGGCUGCUGGCACGGAGUUAGCCGGUCCUUAUUCUUACAGUACCGUCAAGCUGGUAUACAUACCAGUGUUUCUUCCUGUAUAAAAGUAGUUUACAACCCAUAGGGCAUUCUUCCUACACGCGGCAUGGCUGGAUCAGAGUCUCCUCCAUUGUCCAAUAUUCCUCACUGCUGCCUCCCGUAGGAGUCUGGUCCGUGUCUCAGUACCAGUGUGGGGGAUCUCCCUCUCAGGACCCCUACCUAUCGCUGUCUUGGUAAGCCGUUACCUUACCAACUAACUAAUAGGAUGCAUAGCCAUCUUUUACCGAUAAAUCUUUAAUUAUAAACUGAUGCCAGUCUACAAUACUAUGAGGCAUUAAUCUUCAUUUCUAAAGGCUAUUCCUCUGUAAAAGGUAGGUUCUAUACGCGUUACGCACCCGUGCGCCGGUCGUCAUCUGUGCAAGCACAAUGUUACCCCUCGACUUGCAUGUGUUAAGCCUGCCGCUAGCGUUCAUCCUGAACCAGGAUCAAACUAU
rnacentral:rRNA from 1 species